UACGUAGGGGGCAAGCGUUAUCCGGAUUUACUGGGUGUAAAGGGAGCGUAGACGGCGCGGCAAGUCUGAAGUGAAAGGAGGGGGCCCGUCCCCGGACUGCUUUGGAAACUGUCAUGCUUGAGUGCAGGAGGGGUAUGCGGAAUUCCUAGUGUAGCGGUGAAAUGCGUAGAUAUUAGGAGGAACACCGGCGGCGAAGGCGGCAUACUGGACUGUAACUGACGUUGAGGCUCGAAGGCGUGGGGAGCAAACA
rnacentral:rRNA from 1 species